UGGGGAAUAUUGGACAAUGGGCGAAAGCCUGAUCCAGCCAUGCCGCGUGUGUGAAGAAGGUCUUCGGAUUGUAAAGCACUUUAAGUUGGGAGGAAGGGCAGUAAGCGAAUACCUUGCUGUUUUGACGUUACCGACAGAAUAAGCACCGGCUAACUCUGUGCCAGCAGCCGCGGUAAUACAGAGGGUGCAAGCGUUAAUCGGAAUUACUGGGCGUAAAGCGCGCGUAGGUGGUUCGUUAAGUUGAAUGUGAAAGCCCCGGGCUCCACCUGGGAACUGCAUCCAAGACUGGCGAGCUAGAGUAGGGCAGAGGGUGGUGGAAUUUCCUGUGUAGCGGUGAAAUACGUAGAUAUAGGAAGGAACACCAGUGGCGAAGGCGACCACCUGGGCUCAUACUGACACUGAGGUGCGAAAGCGUGGGGAGCAAACAGG
rnacentral:rRNA from 1 species